rnacentral:misc_RNA from 1 species
GAUGAAGAACGUAGCGAAAUGCGAUAAGUAGUGUGAAUUGCAGAAUUCAGUGAAUCAUCGAAUCUUUGAACGCACAUUGCGCCCCUUGGUAUUCCAUGGGGCAUGCCUGUUCGAGCGUCAUUUGUACCUUCAAGCCUUGCUUGGUGUUGGGUGUUUGUCUCGCCUCUGCGCGCAGACUCGCCUCAAAACAAUUGGCAGCCGGCGUAUUGAUUUCGGAGCGCAGUACAUCUCGCGCUUUGCACUCAGAACGACGACGUCCAAAAGUACAUUUUUACACUCUUGACCUCGGAUCAGGUAGGGAUACCCGCUGAACUUAAGCAUGUCAAUAAGCGGAGGA